rnacentral:rRNA from 1 species
AACGAACGCUGGCGGCAGGCUUAACACAUGCAAGUCGAGCGCCCCGCAAGGGGAGCGGCAGACGGGUGAGUAACGCGUGGGAAUCUACCCAUCUCUACGGAAUAACGCAUGGAAACGUGUGCUAAUACCGUAUACGUCCUUCGGGAGAAAGAUGUAUCGGAGAUGGAUGAGCCCGAGUUGGAUUAGCUAGUUGGUGGGGUAAAGGACUACCAAGGCGACUAUCCAUAGCUGGUCUGAGAGUAUGAUCAGGCACACUGGUUCUGAGACAAGUCCCAGACUCCUACGGGAGGCAGCAGUGGGGAAUAUUGGACAAUGGGCGCAAGCCUGAUCCAGCCAUGCCGCGUUAGUGAUGAAGGCCCUAGGGUUGUAAAUCUCUUUCACCGGUGAAGAUAAUGACGGUAACCGGAGAAUAAGCCCCGGCUAACUUCGUGCCAGCCGCCGCAGUAAAAC